rnacentral:rRNA from 1 species
AGAACGAACGCUGGCGGCAUGCCUAAUACAUGCAAGUCGAACGAAGGCUUCGGCCUUAGUGGCGCACGGGUGCGUAACGCGUGGGAGUCUGCCCCUUGGUUCGGAAUAACAGUUGGAAACGACUGCUAAUACCGGAUGAUGACGAAAGUCCAAAGAUUUAUCGCCAAGGGAUGAGCCCGCGUAGGAUUAGCUAGUUGGUGAGGUAAAGGCUCACCAAGGCAACGAUCCUUAG